CAAGAGUACCAAUGCAUACAUGCUAAACUUACAAUAUGAUGGUGCUGAAGAAACAGUUCUUACUACUUCAUCCCCUGAUUUAAAUUUUGGGAACAAGUAAAAAAGGCUUGGCAGAUAGAGAACAGUGAUUACAAGUUACCUGCAAUAUGUACCAAGCCAAGAAAAGUGGGUCAUCUUUGGAUGCCAACCAUUUAAUGUUGAAUGAAAACCUUCGAGACAACUAGUUUGUGCUUCUGAAGAUAGUUUUUUAACAUCUUUGAGAACAGAUUUUUUCAACAGAAUGGAGGAAAGUCGCUGAUAUGAUUUAGUUCCUUAAAAAGAAUACAAUCCCAUCUGAAAAGUGGUAAAUAACAUUUUAGACAUUUUAACAAUCUCAAUUCUGUCUUGCUGCCUAAAUGUGUGCAUGCUCAUACCAACUUGAAGCCAUAGACGUUCAUCUAGCUCUCCAUGAGCACAUUUAGGAAACAACUCAUCUGGAUGGUUUUCAUGCUUGUUUGUAAUGUGCCUAGCAAUGGAUUUCCAUUUCGCAAUCGUCGUCUCAUGUUUAGCGAUUUUGCAACUGUUGCGUUCACGGUGAAUGCAGAAUCUGCGAAAUGCAUUGAACAUAGCACAGAGUACUGCUGAGGAACGAAUUUUGGCCUAUGUCUCCUAACAAAUUUCGUCCAUUUAUUCAGCCUCUCCUUGUCAUUCAUGGGGAAACGAUGUACUGAGACACCCUCUGUGUGUUGACUGUUUGUACAACUUUUCCGUUGGGCCAACCAGCAACACAAUAUUGUCCUCCUCGACGAUUUUUUGCAGAAUUUUGCCUACUCGCCAUAUUUUAACUUGCGGUGUAUCGUUACGUUUGACUAACUUAAUAAAAAAUUAUUCUCCUUA